rnacentral:rRNA from 1 species
ACGGGAGGCAGCAGUGAGGAAUAUUGGUCAAUGGGCGCGAGCCUGAACCAGCCAAGUAGCGUGAGGGAUGACGGCCCUAUGGGUUGUAAACCUCUUUUGUCAGGGAAUAAAGUCAGGGACGUGUCCCUGUUUGUAGGUACCUGAAGAAUAAGGACCGGCUAAUUCCGUGCCAGCAGCCGCGGUAAUACGGAAGGUCCGGGCGUUAUCCGGAUUUAUUGGGUUUAAAGGGAGCGUAGGCCGGUGGUUAAGCAUGCUGUGAAAUGUAGGCGCUCAACGUCUGCACUGCAGCGUGAACUGGUCACCUUGAGUGCGCGGGAAGUUGGCGGAAUUCGUGGUGUAGCGGUGAAAUGCUUAGAUAUCACGAAGAACUCCGAUUGCGAAGGCAGCUGACUGUAGCGUAACUGACGCUGAAGCUCGAAAGUGCGGGUAUCGAACAGGAUUAGAUACCCUGGUA